AGUUUGAUCAUGGCUCAGAACGAACGCUGGCGGCAUGCCCAACACAUGCAAGUCGAACGAAGCCUUCGGGCUUAGUGGCGCACGGGUGCGUAACACGUGGGAAUCUGCCCUUCGGUUCGGAAUAACAGUUAGAAAUGACUGCUAAUACCGGAUGAUGACGUAAGUCCAAAGAUUUAUCGCCGAAGGAUGAGCCCGCGUAGGAUUAGGUAGUUGGUAGGGUAAUGGCCUACCAAGCCGACGAUCCUUAGCUGGUCUGAGAGGAUGAUCAGCCACACUGGGACUGAGACACGGCCCAGACUCCUACGGGAGGCAGCAGUGGGGAAUAUUGGACAAUGGGCGAAAGCCUGAUCCAGCAAUGCCGCGUGAGUGAUGAAGGCCUUAGGGUUGUAAAGCUCUUUACCAGGGAUGAUAAUGACAGUACCUGGAGAAUAAGCUCCGGCUAACUCCGUG
rnacentral:rRNA from 1 species